AGUGAACGCUGGCGGUAGGCCUAACACAUGCAAGUCGAACGGCAGCACAGUAAGAGCUUGCUCUUACGGGUGGCGAGUGGCGGACGAGUGAGGAAUACAUCGGAAUCUACUUUUUCGUGGGGGAUAACGUAGGGAAACUUACGCUAAUACCGCAUACGACCUACGGGUGAAAGCAGGGGAUCUUCGGACCUUGCGCGAUUGAAUGAGCCGAUGUCGGAUUAGCUAGUUGGCGGGGUAAAGGCCCACCAAGGCGACGAUCCGUAGCUGGUCUGAGAGGAUGAUCAGCCACACUGGAACUGAGACACGGUUCAGACUCCUACGGGAGGCAGCAGUGGGGAAUAUUGGACAAUGGGCGCAAGCCUGAUCCAGCCAUACCGCGUGGGUGAAGAAGGCCUUCGGGUUGUAAAGCCCUUUUGUUGGGAAAGAAAAGCAGCAGGUUAAUACCCCGCUGUUCUGACGGUACCCAAAGAAUAAGCACCGGCUAACUUCGUG
rnacentral:rRNA from 1 species